UUUCGGUCACCCAACUCCUCAUGAGUUA
rnacentral:sRNA from 1 species